UUCCUUGGAUGAAGAGCCUUUCUUCAGGAGGAGUAUGCAUUUCAUAGUUCUGGCCACAGCCAAUGAGCGAUCAAUUUGUUUCUCUGGCGGGAAUAAGCAGCCAAUUAAUGCCCGAAUUGGUGCUAAAGACAUUACGUCAUUGAUGCUCAGCUAAUCAGAGUGCACAGAGACUACGUCAUAGUGUUGGAGAGAGUGAGGAAGCCCUGGCAAUUUCCCGCCUCAGGCGCCGACACGACAAUAUGGCGGGCGGGAAGCUGCAGCCUUGUAAAUGUCUUCGCCUCAGACUGCAAGUUCCCCUCCAGUACCAGCACUGUCAUCUCAUGGUUGUGACCCCACAGUAAUCAACAAACGUCCAGGUACGCAUUUCCUGCUAGGUGAACAAGAACAGAUACGAGACGACGAUCCUACGACUCCACACAAUCUUGAAUAUGGAGUUAAGGCAGGCACUUGUAUCAUU